AACUUUCAACAAAGGAUCUCUUGGCUCUCGCAUCGAUGAAGAACGCAGCAAAGCGCGAAAUGUAAUGUGAAUUGCAGAAUUUUGUGAAUCAUCGAAUCUUUGAACGCACAUUGCGCCUCCCGUCAAUGGGAGGCAUGCCUGUCUGAGCGUCAUUU
rnacentral:rRNA from 1 species